rnacentral:rRNA from 1 species
AACGAACGCUGGCGGCAUGCCUAACACAUGCAAGUCGAACGAGACCUUCGGGUCUAGUGGCGCACGGGUGCGUAACGCGUGGGAAUCUACCCUUGGGUUCGGAAUAACAGUUAGAAAGGACUGCUAAUACCGGAUGAUGACGUAAGUCCAAAGAUUUAUCGCACAAGGAUGAGCCCGCGUAAGAUUAGCUGGUUGGUGGGGUAAUGGCCUACCAAGGCGACGAUCUUUAGCUGGUCUGAGAGGAUGAUCAGCCACACUGGGACUGAGACACGGCCCAGACUCCUACGGGAGGCAGCAGUGGGGAAUAUUGGACAAUGGGCGAAAGCCUGAUCCAGCAAUGCCGCGUGAGUGAUGAAGGCCUUAGGGUUGUAAAGCUCUUUUACCAGGGAUGAUAAUGACAGUACCUGGAGAAUAAGCUCCGGCUAACUCCGUGCCAGCCGCCGCCGUAA